UUUCUUUUUCAAUUCACAUUUAUUUUUCUGUUGUGAUUUUAAUUAUUUUAAAAUAUUUUCUUUAUUCAUAAAAAUAUCCAAAAAUAUUUUUCAUAUUUCUUAAUGUCUUAUUUAAUUUUAUUUAAUUUUUAUUUUCGUAUUUAUUUAAUGUUAAUAUUUUAUUUUAAUUAUUUAUCCUAAAUGGUCCAUUUUAACACACAUUUUUUUCUAGAUUUUAUUUUUAUGUCUUAAAAUUAUGUUUAGCUUUUGAUUUUUG
rnacentral:lncRNA from 1 species